UACGAACGGUCCAAACGUUAUUCGGAAUCACUGGGCUUAAAGCGUCCGUAGGCGGCUCGGAAAGUAGGGUGUGAAAUCCCACGGCUCAACCGUGGAAUUGCGCUCUAAACUAUCGAGCUAGAGGGAGAUAGAGGUGAGCGGAACUGAUGGUGGAGCGGUGAAAUGCGUUGAUAUCAUCAGGAACACCGGAGGCGAAGGCGGCUCACUGGGUCUUUUCUGACGCUGAGGAGCGAAAGCCAGGGGAGCAAACGGG
rnacentral:rRNA from 1 species